ensembl:misc_RNA Metazoa_SRP Metazoan signal recognition particle RNA
GCUGGGUGUGGUGGCGUGCGCCUGUAAUCCCAGCUACUUGGGAGGCUGAGGCAGGAGAAUUGCUUGAACUCAGGAGGCGGAGAUUGCAGUGAGCAGGGAUAACACUACUGCAACCCAGCCUGGGUGACAGAGUGAGACUCUGUCUCAA